rnacentral:RNase_P_RNA from 1 species
GUAUUCGGGUAAUCGCGUCAAGACCAUUGGGUUUUGAUGAGGAAAGUCCAUGCUCGCACAAGCUGCGAUGCUUGUAGUGUUCGUGCCUGACGAAGACAUAAGUCAGGGCAGGUUAGCCUGACGGCUGGGAAAACACCUAAACCCAUAUUGGGCAUGGUGUGAGUACCUAUAAAAGUGCCACAGAGACGAGCCUAGCGGGAAACUGCUAGGGUGGAACGUUGGUAAACCCCACGAGCGAGAAACCCAAAUUUUGGUAGGGGAACUCUGAUCCCUGGAAAUGAACAGGGAUUGGGGACAGAGUAAAUCUCUGUAGACAAAUGAUUACCACCUGAGUACGAGGAGGCAUCCGCUAGGAGUACGAAGGUACAGAACAUGGCUUACAGAA